ACGUAGUACGUGGCUCUCAAAAGUAGGGGCCUACAGCUCAAAAGGCGGAAAACCGUAGGAAUGAAAUGCACCUUGCAGACAGCAAUAACAUGCAUGCACGGCAGGGGUUUCUACCAUUUCCACAACAGCUGCAUGCUCAUGACAGAUGGGUGCCAUCUGUGUGUUCAUUGUCCUCAACACAAGAUCCUGUCGACCACCUGGGGCAAUCUCGAAGCAACGGGUGGCUCACAUCGGCACUUUUGGAAACCUUUGGAGUAACAGGAUUGCAGCGUCUCGUGGCAGCCACAGUGCAGAACCAACUCACGUUGAGCUGCUUGACCUGUGCCGGGGAGGCAAACACCACAGUGCCGUUGGUGCGCCCCUGGGCAGAGGUGACCACUACCGCACUGGGAGCCGGGCUGGAGCGUGCUGCCGUGGUCGUGCUGCUGGCACGCGAGACGGGCGCGCUGCUGGUCACCACGGUCGCUCCUUCUUCCAUCAGCA